UGCAUAGUUCAAUGGAUAGAAUACCUCCCUCCUAAGGAGUAGAUUCUGGUUCGACUCCAGGUGCGGAUACCA
rnacentral:tRNA from 1 species